UACGAAGGGUGCAAGCGUUACUCGGAAUUACUGGGCGUAAAGCGUGCGUAGGUGGUGAGUUAAGUCUGUCGUGAAAGCCCCGGGCUCAACCUGGGAAUGGCGAUGGAUACUGGCUCGCUAGAGUGCGGUAGAGGAGAGUGGAAUUCCCGGUGUAGCAGUGAAAUGCGCAGAUAUCGGGAGGAACACCGAUGGCGAAGGCAGGUCUCUGGGCCACUACUGACGCUGAGAAGCGAAAGCAUGGGGAGCGAACAGG
rnacentral:rRNA from 1 species